rnacentral:rRNA from 1 species
AUACGUAGGUGGCAAGCGUUGUCCGGAUUUACUGGGUGUAAAGGGCAUGUAGGCGGGGAUAUAAGUCAGAUGUGAAAUCCUGUGGCUCAACCACAGAACUGCAUCUGAAACUAUAUCUCUUGAGUACUGGAGAGGAGAGCGGAAUUCCUAGUGUAGCGGUGAAAUGCGUAGAUAUUAGGAGGAACACCAGUGGCGAAGGCGACUUUCUGGACCAAUACUGACGCUGAGGCGCGAAAGCGUGGGUAGCAAACGGGAUUAGAAACCCUAGUAGUCC